GUCAGUGUCAGGAGUACGUCGUCAGCAUAGGCUGCCGCGACAAAUUCCCUCCCUCCCAAUUUGACCCCUUGAAUAUUGGGAUCUUGCCUAAUUGCUUGCAGCAGCGGCUCCAAAGCCAUGACAAACAGCAAGGAGGACAGGGGGCAGCCCUGUCUGGUGCCGUUAUGUAAUCUAAAGGGCGAAGGGGGUGCGCCAGUGAUCUGCACCUGCGCUCUCACGUUGC